GACGAACGCUGGCGGCGUGCUUAACACAUGCAAGUCGAACGGAAAGGCCCUGCUUUUGUGGGGUGCUCGAGUGGCGAACGGGUGAGUAACACGUGAGUAACCUGCCCUUGACUUUGGGAUAACUUCAGGAAACUGGGGCUAAUACCGGAUAGGAGCUCCUGCUGCAUGGUGGGGGUUGGAAAGUUUCGGCGGUUGGGGAUGGACUCGCGGCUUAUCAGCUUGUUGGUGGGGUAGUGGCUUACCAAGGCUUUGACGGGUAGCCGGCCUGAGAGGGUGACCGGCCACAUUGGGACGGAGAUACGGCCCAGACUCCUACGGGAGGCAGCAGUGGGGAAUAUUGCACAAUGGGCGGAAGCCUGAUGCAGCAACGCCGCGUGCGGGAUGACGGCCUUCGGGUGGUAAACCGCUUUCGCCUGUGACGAAGCGUGAGUGACGGUAAUGGGUAAAGAAGCACCGGCUAACUACGG
rnacentral:rRNA from 1 species